rnacentral:rRNA from 1 species
GACGAACGCUGGCGGCGUGCCUAACACAUGCAAGUCGAACGGAGAAUUAGCAAUAAUUCUUAGUGGCGAACGGGUGAGUAACGCGUAGACAACCUACCCUUUAGAUGGGGACAACACCGCGAAAGUGGUGCUAAUACCGAAUAUUGCUUGAGAAGCGCAUGCUUUUCAAACUAAAGAUGGCCUCUAUUUAUAAGCUAUCGCUAAAGAAUGGGUUUGGGUCUGAUUAGCUAGUUGGUGAGAUAAAAGCUCACCAAGGCAACGAUCAGUAGCCGGUCUGAGAGGAUGAACGGCCACACUGGGACUGAGACACGGCCAAGACUCCUACGGGAGGCAGCAGUGGGGAAUCUUCCGCAAUGGACGAAAGUCUGACGGAGCAACGCCGCGUGAGUGAUGAAGGUUUUCGGAUCGUAAAACUCUGUUGUUAAGGACGAAUGUAUAGAUUGUGAAUAACGGUUUAUAAUGACGGUACUUAACGAGGAAGCCACGGCUAACUACGUGCCAGCCGCCGCGGUAA